rnacentral:piRNA from 1 species
UUGCAAACGAAUUAAGGGUGCAAGCCCCUGC